CCAGAAUCAACUGGAUGGUUUAUUAACACUGAUUGCUGGGCCUCAUCCUCAGAGAUACUGAUUCUGUAAGUAGAUCUUCGGUGGGGUCUAAGAGUCUGCAUUUUUAACAGGCUCUCAGGUGAUAUGACGCUGCUGGUCUGGGGACCACAUUUUGAGAACCAACAAUCUACAGAAUUACUUCCUAUAACUGGCAUGAUUAUUAAGUGAUGAUGAAUCUUUGGUAAGUAAAUUUUCCACACAAGUGAAGGUUGCCUCAGAUGCGACACUUUCAUUUUAAUUCCUUUUUGAUGAAAACUUUUCUAAAAUGUAUCAUUUUUAUUCUUAUAUAUGUGAACAAGGGGCUCUUAAAUACCACUUAGCUUUUCUUUUGACUGAAGUUAUCAAAUAAUUCCUCUUGGUUUCAGAAGGGAUAAAUAAGCAUGGUCUUUUGACUUAUGAACUUAUUAACCUGAGCAGUAUUUCCGGACUGUGUUCCUGAAGGGACAGUCAUAGAUCCUGAGAAGAGAUAGUAGUGAAACUUACAAGUCAGCACGAGUUCCCUGAGAAUAAGUAGGUAAAGCUAACUUUAUUUCUUUUAUUGUUAUGACUACUAGAUUGGUAAAUUGGAGAAAUGAUAUAGGCAUAGAUAUUGGACUAGCCAGGCUUACCAGGCAAUACCAAAAUGUGUUGAGUUGAUUAAUGGAUGGGUGCCAACCUGGGUAGAUAUUGCUUGUAGAGUGCCAGAGAGUUCUGUCUUUGGCUUUGUCUAAUUCUUUCUCAGUUAUUUGGAUGAGCCAGAACAUAACCCAUUCCCAUUCCUCAGGGGUAUGAAAACAUAGACAAGACCACUUGACAGACAAUAAAGAAAGGGUGUGAAGGACAGCCAGAGGAGACUUUGAGGGCCCAAACAAUCCAGAACUCUGAUUCUCUGAUAGUUAUGAUCACUUGAUUACCUGUUAUGAUACUGUAGUGUAAUAGCCAAAAUAGGUAUGUGACUGCCUUAGAGUUUGUGGUCUUUGCUGCCAGGAUGACAGCAAAUUAACCUUAAUUUUCAAGAACACAUCUCUUGCUGCUCAAUCAAAUUUUAUCCUUUCUCGUAUGUCUUCUUUCAACCUGCUCUUAGAUUGCUCUUUCAGCUCUACAAGGGUCUGUGAAACCAGAUAACUAGACUUGACAAGAAAUAUAAAUGCAACAAGAGUAAGCAGACCAAUGGAGAACAUAAGGGACCACUUGUUUGGAGUUUGGCUCUAGAGUCUCAGAGAGUGUUUUCUCUUACAUUUAUGUUCCAAAGGAAUGAAACGAUUCAAUCUUUGGCCUCCUGAGCUUUCAUAUGUUGGUAUAAGAGACUCAACUAUCUUCUACUCAAUUAUCAUUCACAUUUCAGAGAAAAUUGUAUUUAUUUUAUUGAAUGAUGACUUACCAAAAGGUUGCUACAAAUUAAUAGAAGAUGAAAUACAUAAUGCUGUAUAUUCUGCUCGAAUAUAUUCAUUGUUCAAUUAAAUAUGGUUGCAAGCACAAUAUUAAGACAACUGCCUUGUAUUCAUGUAUAUACACAUACCCUAUAAGCCCUGCUUUCUCAUUUGCUAUUGCCAAGGUGAUAGCUGUUAAUGACAGAUGGGAAAAUGUUUUAAAUAGAAAGGAAUUUGGAGGAAACUAAAAUAAAUCUCACUUUACUUCAUUAUUCCACAUCUUCUUUCCCUGAGUGGCAACAUAUUAAUGAGGACCCUCUUAACAAUACAUGAGUUUUAUUUGAUAGGCUGUCUGAUUUGCGCUUAUUUCCCAUAGGCAAUGGGUGUGUGUAGUCAAGUCCAGGUUAGGGUCAGACAGGUUUUUCAUUUAUCUUUUCUAAUGACCUGUAAAUGUUCCACUGACUUGGGCUUUUAUUUCGGAAGUAAACAUUUUGCUAACUAGUCAUGGGUCAUGUAGGCACAUUAACAACUCCCUGCUAAUUUAUCAUCAUUGCGUAGCUAACCUCCAGUAGGUAAACUAGGUCCUUUUUGCUCUCAUGAUUUUAUGAUGUUGGCAGUGGUAGUAAGUAUGCAUUACUUUGUCUCAUCCCCAACCUGAGAAAAUGAACCUUUUUACAGUCCUUUCAAUCUGAUCACACUAUUUUAAGUGCUGAUGUAUUCUGAAAAGAUGAAUUGUUUUAUGUUGCAAUGUUUCCACUGAGUAAUAGAGUAUCAUGUGGGUGAGGGAGGAAGAAGUAUAGAGUUACAAAUUUAAAUACACUGGCUCUCUAUUCAGAGACUUCCAUAUAAGGGAGCAAGGUGAUACUAUAAAAUAUUCAGAUGUAUUCUAGGGGUACUGUGUGUUUCCUAGAUUAUCAGUUUCCUUUGCUACAUUUCUGGGGACUAACUGCCAACAUAAGAAUUGUAGAUGAUUCAUAAUUAGUAAAUGUGCUUUUUUUUUC
rnacentral:lncRNA from 10 species